rnacentral:rRNA from 1 species
ACUCCUACGGGAGGCAGCAGUGGGAAUAUUGCACAAUGGGCGCAAGCCUGAUGCAGCCAUGCCGCGUGUGUGAAGAAGGCCUUCGGGUUGUAAAGCACUUUCAGUAGGAGGAAAGGUUGAGUAGUUAAUACCUGCUAGCUUGUGACUGUUACAUUACAAGAAGAAGCACCGGCUAACUCCGUGCCAGCAGCCGCGGUAAUACGGAGGGUGCGAGCGUUAAUCGGAAUUACUGGGCGUAAAGCGUACGCAGGCGGUUUGUUAAGCGAGAUGUGAAAGCCCC